rnacentral:rRNA from 2 species
AGACCCGAAACCCGGUGAUCUAGCCAUGGGCAGGUUGAAGGUUGGGUAACACUAACUGGAGGACCGAACCGACUAAUGUUGAAAAAUUAGCGGAUGACCUGUGGCUGGGGGUGAAAGGCCAAUCAAACCGGGAGAUAGCUGGUUCUCCCCGAAAGCUAUUUAGGUAGCGCCUCGUGAAUUCAUCUCCGGGGGUAGAGCACUGUUUCGGCUAGGGGGCCAUCCCGGCUUACCAACCCGAUGCAAACUGCGAAUACCGGAGAAUGUUAUCACGGGAGACACACGGCGGGUGCUAACGUCCGUCGUGAAGAGGGAAACAACCCAGACCGCCAGCUAAGGUCCCAAAGUCAUGGUUAAGUGGGAAACGAUGUGGGAAGGCCCAGACAGCCAGGAUGUUGGCUUAGAAGCAGCCAUCAUUUAAAGAAAGCGUAAUAGCUCACUGGUCGAGUCGGCCUGCGCGGAAGAUGUAACGGGGCUAAACCAUGCACCGAAGCUGCGGCAGCGACACUCAGGUGUUGUUGGGUAGGGGAGCGUUCUGUAAGUCUGCGAAGGUGGCCUGUGAGGGUUGCUGGAGGUAUCAGAAGUGCGAAUGCUGACAUAAGUAACGAUAAAGCGGGUGAAAAGCCCGCUCGCCGGAAGACCAAGGGUUCCUGUCCAACGUUAAUCGGGGCAGGGUGAGUCGACCCCUAAGGCGAGGCCGAAAGGCGUAGUCGAUGGGAAACGGGUUAAUAUUCCCGUACUUGGUGUUACUGCGAAGGGGGGACGGAGAAGGCUAUGUUGGCCGGGCGACGGUUGUCCCGGUUUAAGCGUGUAGGUGUGUGUUCCAGGUAAAUCCGGUUCACUUUAACACUGAGGCGUGACGACGAGGCACUACGGUGCUGAAGCAACAAAUGCCCUGCUUCCAGGAAAAGCCUCUAAGCAUCAGGUAACAUCAAAUCGUACCCCAAACCGACACAGGUGGUCAGGUAGAGAAUACCAAGGCGCUUGAGAGAACUCGGGUGAAGGAACUAGGCAAAAUGGUGCCGUAACUUCGGGAGAAGGCACGCUGACACGUAGGUGAAGUGAUUUACUCA